GGGCCUGGGGCCCCCUCCCUUUCUUCUCUUAACAGAACUCCAGGGUCCCAGGCAGACUUUCUGCUGACCCGUCUGUCACCCCACUGCUUCAUUUAGCAUCAGGAAUCUGGAAGACGACUCUCCUUCUUUUGCUCAGAUGUGGAGAAUUGAAAAAGGAAAAACAGACGUUUGGCCCAAAACUGCUCCAAAGAUGCAAACAGCCUAAUUCCUGCUGCUCUUGUGGACAGCGAUGGGGAGAGUGACAACUCAGACCCUGUUCCUGUACCCAGUUUCCAACACUCUUCAGCCAAGCCAUUGAAGCAGCCAUCACGAAGCAGACCCAGCAGCUACUUCCGACCGCCUCUCUGAAGAAAAAGGAGAGGAAAGAAA
rnacentral:lncRNA from 1 species